rnacentral:pre_miRNA from 1 species
GGUGGUUGGGGGGGGCCCUCAGCCCAGAUUGUGAGAGGGUGCAGGCCAGGCCAAGAGACCCCACCAGUGCAGG